GACGAACGCUGGCGGCGUGCUUAACACAUGCAAGUCGAGCGGUAAGGCCCUUUCGGGGGUACGACGAGCGGCGAACGGGUGAGUAACACGUGGGUGACCUGCCCUUAGCUCUGGGAUAAGCCUGGGAAACUGGGUCUAAUACCGGAUAUGACUCCAUGACGCAUGUUGUGGGGUGGAAAGCCUUGUGCGGCUAGGGAUGGGCCUGCGGCCUAUCAGCUUGUUGGUGGGGUGAUGGCCUACCAAGGCGACGACGGGUAGCCGGCCUGAGAGGGCGACCGGCCACACUGGGACUGAGACACGGCCCAGACUCCUACGGGAGGCAGCAGUGGGGAAUCUUGCGCAAUGGGCGAAAGCCUGACGCAGCGACGCCGCGUGGGGAGU
rnacentral:rRNA from 1 species